rnacentral:tRNA from 1 species
GAAGGGCUUCAGCCCAUUUUUGGGGUAUGAACCCAAUAGCUUAUACUUAGCUUAUUCUACA